rnacentral:rRNA from 1 species
AGAGUUUGAUCAUGGCUCAGAACGUACGCUGGCGGCACGCCUAACACAUGCAAGUCGAACGCAGUAGCAAUACUGAGUGGCAAACGGGUGAGUAUAAUGUGGGAAUCUGCCUUUUGGUUUGGAAUAACACGGGGAAACUUGUGCUAAUACCGAAUAAGCCUUUACAGGGAAAGUUUUAACGCCGAAAGAUGAGCCCGCACUUGAUUAGCUAGUUGGUAAGGUAAAAGCUUACCAAGGCAACGAUCAAUAGCUGUUCUUAGAGGAAGACCAGCCACAUUGGGACUGAGACACGGCCCAGACUCCUACGGGAGGCAGCAGUGGGGAAUCUUGCACAAUGGGGGAAACCCUGAUGCAGCGAUGCCGCGUGAGUGAAGAAGGCCCUUGGGUUGUAAAACUCUUUCGUCGGGGAAGAAAAUGACUGUACCCGAAUAAGAAGGUCCGGCUAACUUCGUGCCAGCAGCCGCGGUAAUACGAAGGGACCUAGCGUAGUUCGGAAUUACUGGGCUUAAAGAGCUCGUAGGUGGUUAAAAAAGUUGAUGGUGAAAUCCCAAGGCUCAACCUUGGAACUGCCAUCAAAACUUUUUAGCUAGAGUGUGAUAGAGGUAAGUGGAAUUUCUAGUGUAGAGGUGAAAUUCGUAGAUAUUAGAAAGAACACCAAAUGCGAAGGCAACUUACUGGGUCACUACUGACACUGAGGAGCGAAAGCAUGGGUAGCGAAGAGGAUUAGAUACCCUCGUAGUCCAUGCCGUAAACGAUGUGUGCUAGACGUUGGAAAUAUAUUUUUCAGUGUCGCAGCGAAAGCAUUAAGCACACCGCCUGGGAGUACGACCGCAAGGUUAAAACUCAAAUGAAUUGACGGGGGACCCACACAAGCAGUG